UGNACAGGGUUGCAGUCACCAGUGGGUUAACUGCCCNUGAUGAUCGGGACAACCGGGGAAACCCGGGCUAAUACCCGAAUGUGGUCGCGGAUCCGUGAGGACUGUGACGAAAGGAAGCUUACUGGACUCCGGCAUNGGGAUGGGCCCAGCUGGGCCAUUAGCAUUGUUGGUGGGGUAAUGGGCUACCAAGGACAUCGANUGGGUAGACAUGGUCUGAGAGGACGAAUACAGGCUAACACAUGGUGAACUGAUGAAGACAGGUGCACAGAAAUCCUAAGGGACANGGGCGCAGACAGANGAGGAGGAGGAAAACUCCCUUGCGACGNCCAGCAAGUGCANGCCCGUGAAAAGAACAACGGUUNNGGANACGGCCCAAAAGACCAGAACAGUACCACAGCAANNGAUGACCGGUGAACNAAGAGAAACANGGUCCCAUUGAAUAACGAGCGGAGUGCAGNGAAUGAAAAANCACACACCCGAUUAGAAAAAAAGAGAAUCNGNGGGAGAAUACACGAAAGCAAGAGAGCAANAGCCAGGAAGCACAGAGAUUAAAAAGCUAGCGAAUAACGGAGGAAACAGGGUGACCGAAGGGAACCAAAG
rnacentral:rRNA from 1 species